ensembl:lncRNA
CUGGCGAGGAGGCAGUGUUAAUUGUUUAAUCCCACAAGUGUGUCUGGGGUGUGGGCUGUGAGGGUGAGAAAGGAGACAGACCUGGGCUGAGAAGGAGCCGGUGCCAGGCGGACUGAGCCUCCAUUUACACAGAAGUGUUUGGGGAAGGCCUCUCCAGAGGGCCGGCCUGGAAAGCUCAACCGGGAGAGGAGAUGGGCCGAAAAACAAAACCAGACCCCUGGAAGCCUGAUGAACCUGUGACUGAUCGCUGGGAGAUGCCCUGCUUGAGCCGGAUGUGCUGUCAGCUUGGUGUCCAGAUGGGCACCCCAGAGUCGGGCACGCCUGGCCAGCCGUGAUGCACAGAUGGUGGAAGCACAGGAGGCCAGUCUCCAGAGCCAGAGCCCGGACUGCAGCGGGACGGGCGAUGGCAGGGGCCUCCAAGCUCAGGGCCUGGGAACCAAACCCCUCACAUCGGGACCUGGGGGGAGGACACUUCCAGGAUCCAAGGACGCAGAGCAGAGAAUGGAAGGAAUGGAGGAACCUAACAGACCUGCCUUCCCCACCAAGCCCGUCCUCCACGUCCAAGCUGUGUGGUUUGGAGUUUGGCACUUGCCCUCUCUGAGUCCCACAGUCCUCACCUGUAAAGUGGUGCUGAAUAUACCGACCAAGGGGCCUUAGCAUUCCCCCCCAUCUCCCUCCUUGCUGCCACCCUGGCACAUCUAUAAUCCAUUAUCCACACGGUAGCCAGAGAGGCCUUUUUUUCCCCCUUUCUUCCUUUUGCUUCCAAAAAUGUAUUUAUUUAUUUUUUGAAUAGGUAACAAAUUUGCAUGACUCAACAUUCAAAAGGUGCAAGAGAGAAUAAAGAAAAUAUCCC